GGGAUGCUCAGUGAGAUGAGGCUGCAGGGGACAAUGGGAGUGGUCCAGCUCCGUGGCCGUGUCCACAAGCUCUGCUGUUCCCGUGUGGUUUUUCCAGGAUGACUAGAGAGAAGCAGCCACACGGGGCCUUCAGGCUGUCAGAAGCAGCCGGCUCGGAGGACGCACAGGGCGGCCAGCCCAAGGCCAGCAGGACGACCCCGCUCAGGAGGAAGGAGACCCUGGUGCAGAAUUCCGAGGACUUCAGAGAAAGCAUCCAGAGGAAUUGCUGCAUCCGGAGUCCCAGAUUCAUACCAGGCCACGAGCAGCAUCAAUAGGAAGAGAAUGAAAAUAGGAUUCAUCUCCAGGAUAAGUUGAUGAACACGGGUUUCCUGGUCACUAAUAAAAUUC